AUGCUAUGCAAAUGUACUGAUCCUAAAUCUACCCCUUUCGUGUCCUACUUCUUUGGGAUGUUACACUUGCGUCCAGUGUGUACGUCUUCGUGGUGUGCUUGGAAAUGGCAUCCUUCGUUGGCCAGUGUUGUGGCUCAUCAGUGUCACAACGCGGUGUUGGAGAAGCUAGAGGUGGAGGGGUUGUUGCUCCCCUCCAUCCGUUACACGUGGAGGGUGUUCGGGACAGAGGUAACGCCAUUCCCGACGAGAGAUGAACGAGUGCUGCUCAUGGCCUUCGUCGAGUGGGGGCACUCCUUCCCUGUCAGCUGUUUCGUGAAGCAGUGA
rnacentral:rRNA from 1 species